GAUCUGGCUCAGGAUGAACGCUAGCGGCAGGCUUAACACAUGCAAGUCGAGGGGCAGCGCGGGAUAGCAAUAUCCUGGCGGCGACCGGCGGAAGGGUGCGUAACGCGUGAGCGACAUGCCCGUUGCCCGGGGACAACCGGUGGAAACGCCGACUAAUCCCCGAUGGGAUAUUGUGCCGCAUGGCACGAUAUUGAAAGUUACGGCGGCGACGGAUUGGCUCGCGUCCGAUUAGCUUGUUGG
rnacentral:rRNA from 1 species